UAGUCAUUGCAAAUUAUAACCAUGGGUGCAACCUAAACCAACAUGUCCAUGGUACUAGCAUAAAUACAUUCAAACACCAAGCACAUGUAAUGUUGCUGCCAUCUCUAAUGUUGUCAAGCGGGCUUCUGUUCCCUACCGUUGCACACAUAAAUUAUAGCAUUAACCCAUCCCUCUAUCAGUUCCCAUUGGCCAUGGUCCUUAACCCAAACUAUCCUCCACAUAUAACCACUCCUAUCUAUGCCAACAACUAUCAUGUUAUUUGACUCAUCUAAGCCAACAUCAAUCAUGUUAUUUGACUCUAUUGGGGCACAAAGGGACCCUUGCAAGCUGAGCCCAAAACACAGAAAUUUGGUUUCUGCUGUUCUUCCUUGUUUCCUGGCCAAGUGAAAAUAUUAAAUAUACUCUACCGAGGCAAAAGGAAUAAGGAAUUGUGUUUGUGUAUUUGCCUCGUAUGAUUUAUGGCAUUAAAACUUAAAAGCUGCAGACUUUUG
rnacentral:misc_RNA from 1 species